rnacentral:lncRNA from 1 species
CUAUACAUACUUCUUUGUAUCUCAUUUCUCCGGUUUAUAUUUGGUGCUAUCAAGGUGUAUGCACUUGUGCUAAAAGGAAGAGAAAAAAAAAUGCUUAUUACCAUGAGAAACUACCAAUGCAUAUAAGCCACCAGAUAUUUUUCCUUCUAUUAUACUGUAUUUAUGAUCAUUACCAUCAAAUAGGCACUAUGAAAGAUAAUCUUCUUAAGACCCUGAUCUGUUCUCUGGGACCUCACAAUCUUGAUGUCAAAGUAAAACAAAGGACAUGGCCAAAUAUGAAAAUAUAAAGCAUUCGAUGAGUGACAAGUGACUAGUUGGUGUACUGUCCUUGUAGGGCUCCACCGUUCCUCUAGGUGGUGCUUGUGAGUAAAUUCCUUUAAGAUGGCUUUAGAUUGGCAUUCUCUUCUGUGUGACCACACCGGGGUACAGGAAACAUUGGUACAUUUUCUGUUCCCACAGACUGAUCCUAGAGGCCAUUUGCAAUGCAGCCACCUCCUCUUGAUGAUCUGAGUAACUAACUGGCUUUUAGGCUUUGACUUUUCUAGGCCUAUGUCCACUGGUCUCUUCUUCUCCUAGGGACACAGGUUGAGCAUAAUCAGGGGCUCGGAGAAGCAAGGAGUCAUUUCAACCAGGCGGAUCAGGGAAGACUUUUUAAGAAAAAUAUUCACCUCUGUGACACUAGGAAGCUGUUAAAAUAUUGUGAGCUUUUGAGGGCAGAGAGUGUGCUUGAUUGAUGUGUAUUCCAAGCCCCUGGCACAGUGUCUGGCACAAAGACAUUGGCUGCUUGAUAAAUGUGGGCUGAAUUAAAACAAAAUGAUGCUACAGACCCAGCCUGUGAGUCUGUGUGGGGGUGGCUCUUUUUUGAGAUGAUGCACGUGAUCCCACAAGAACAUGAAUACUCCAUUAAGCAAUAAUAUAGCACAGCAACAGACUGCAGCAUACAUGUAGGUACAGUUUUAAGAGAAAUGCUGUGGAUAAACACAACCAGCUUCUAACUGUAGGAUUUAAGAGGGAGGGAAAAAACCCCACCCAGAUACUCUUGGAAGUCUCUCUCUUCUACCUGAAUACACAAUUUCAAAGGGCAAAUUAGCAAAGAUUGAACUGUAGAGGCCAAAAGCACUGAUCAACAGAAGCCAUUUCCUUCCUUAUCUCAUUAUUUUUCUAGCAGCUAGCCUUCAGCCAGCUUCAAACUGGGCUUUAAUUUUAGACUUGUAAAUGUGAGGUGUGCAACAGCCUUUGCAUGCAAAUGGGGCUGCUGGAUGCCCAAUUACUUAAUGUAUAUCAGCAGACGUUGCAUGUGUAGCCUAGCAUGCAUACAACGUUAUGAAUACAAAAUUAGGAGACUGCCACUGGCAAUUAAUCCCUUGUCCAUUGCACAUUCUUUGUACACCCUAAGAAACAUUUUUCACUUCUGAAUUGCCAGUACUUUUUAGGAGCUUGGAAGCUACAAUCCCGUGGGUAGUCCCUGGAAACUUGAAUAUGAUGCAAUGGUGAGCCAUGCUACAGAGACUGAAAGCUGAAACAUCAGAUACGAGACGUAAAUGCCAAUCAUGAAAUUGCUACACAAUCUUCAAUGUCUGCUAACAUUGUGGUAUAGAGCUUCUCUCUAUACCACAAAUUUGACUAUACUCCAGAUCAGUAGUUCUCAGCCUUUAUCGUGCAUCAUAAUCACCAGGAGGGCUUGUCCGCGAGCUUGAGAGUUUCUAAUUCAGUAGCCUGCGACUGGGUCAAAUAACUUACAUUUUUAACAAGUUCCAAGAUGAUGCUGUUCUUGAUCUAGGUACCACACUUGGAAAACCACUACUAUAGAGCAAUCAAGCUAUCUUAGAACAUUUGGGAUAAAAGAAAACUUAGGUAUUCAUAAAUCACUGGUAAAGACACAGAGGUUGAAUCUCAGGCCAAAGAUCACCAGGUCAAUUGAGCAACACUGAUGAGACUCCAGUCUAAGACUUUUGACUUAGAUCAGUUUUCUGUCUGCAGCUAACUUUUCAACUCAAUGUGCAAAGCAUAAAAUAUGACCAUCCUUUAACUUUAGUCCCUUGAUAGACUUCCAAACAAUGCAACCUACUUAACUGGGCACUUAUUAUGGAUUUAUUGUAUUAGGGGCUUGUAGAGAGUGAGGGGAGAUUCCAGAACAGGGAUACUAAUCACUUUAACAGAACUUACACUUUAGUUAGGAACAAGUCAAGAAACCACAAAAGCACCCCACGAGAAUAUCCAACCACUCAACAUGAGUUCUGGAUGGGGAAAAAAACAAAAAUAAAUAAAUAAAAAAUAAAUUAAAAAAGAAUACCCAAACAAGUCUUAAAGUGGGAAUGAUGUAAGUACUCAGAGAUCCAAAACAGUGGAGAUUCAUAGAGACCUCAGAAGAGUAAAAAACUGAAUAGCACGAAAUAAGAAUAGUAAGUUGAGGCUUAAAGAAUAGGAUCUGAAAUAGCAAAAGUGUUUCUUUGCCAGGACUUUGCCAAAAGCAGCUUCACAGAGAAUUUUCCAAGUCCAUGAGUCUCUCUUACGGAAAUUUUGCAAAAGGUUUGGAGAGAAAAAUCAACUCAUUUGUAAAAGAUUGUAUUCUACAAUAUCUAAUCUGGUUAAGUUUUUAAGUCCGACAUCAUACUAGAAUCUUCCAUCUUAAGAAUAGGACUUCAGUCAAUCUAUGGCCAAUGUGUGUAGCUUACAGGUACCUAAUAGAGAAACAUAAAAUAAAGGGAAAGAAUUAGCUCUGAAUUUAGAGGGUUUUUACUGAAAGCAUUUUAGCAUAAACCCAGGCAGUGGUCCCAGUAAUAAACGUUUUAUGUAAAUUUUAUGUGAAUUGCUCAGCAACCUUCUCAGCAAUAUUUUAUUGACUGAAAAUGCCAAAUCUGAAACAUGUUAUAAUAGUCCCAAGAAAGCAUUGCCAAGUAAAUGGUAAGGAACUUAGCUUCUAUUUCUAUUUCUUAAUAUAAGAAGAAGAGCUUAAGUCAAAGGAUAUGCUUUUUAUUUUUUAAUAUCAUGUGUCAGAGUGUAAUGCCUUAGUAGAUACAAAUAUUCAUCCCUUCUUUCUUAGCUUUCUCUUGACAUGAAGAGCAAGUAUAAUUUAUUAAUGUUUUCAGCCAAUUAGUUUGUACCCACAGCAAAGGCCUUUGCUGUUUUAACCUAUGUGCUAUCUCUUCCAACAGCCUGACUCUCAAAGUUGCUAAUCUAGACAAGCCCAACAACCAACAUUUCGCAUUCUUGUCAUUUCCUGAUUAAGCAACAUUCAAGCCACUGAAAUAAAUAUAUAUAUUUGAAAAUGAGUCUCCUUAAUUACCUCAUUGAAAUUUAAUGAAAGAUCUCAAUUUGUAAGAUUAUUUUCACUUUCCAACAGCGCACAUCCGUGAGAUAUACUGAGGGAGAAUAUAUGAAAGAACAGACAAGAUAAAAUGUUUUUCUGCACCAUAAGAAACAUAAAAUAAAAAGAUAUUCAAGAAAUGUUUGGCCAAGCGCGGUGGCUCAUGCCUGUAAUCUCAGCACUUUGGGGGGCUGAGGCGGGUGGAUCACUUGAGGUCAGGAGUUCAAGACCAGCCUGGCCAACAUGGUAAAACCCUGUCUCUACUAAAAAUACAAAAAUUAGCCGGGUGUGAUAGCACACGCCUGUAAUCCCAGCUACUCGGGAUGCUGAGGCAGGAGAAUCGCUUGAUCCCAGGGGGCAGAGGUUGCAGUGAGCUGCGAUCAUGCCACUGCACUCCAGCCUGGCCGAUAACAGUGAAACUCUGUCUCAAAAAAAAAGAAAAAGAAAAAGAAAAGAAAUGUUUUCCUGGCCGGGCGCGGUGGCUCACGCCUGUAAUCCCAGCACUUUGGGAGGCCAGGGCGGGCGGAUCACGAGGUCAGGAGAUUGAGACCAUCCUGGCUAACACGGUGAAACCCCGUCUCUACUAAAAAUACAAAAAAAAUUAGCCGGGCGUGGUGGUGGGCGCCUAUAGUUCCAGCUACUUGGGAGGCUGAGGCAGGAGAAUGGCGUGAACCAGGGAGGCGGAGCUUGCAGUGAGCCGAGAUUGCGCCACUGCACUCCCGCCUGGGCGACAGAGCAAGACUCCGUCUCAAAAAAAAAAAAAAAAGUUUUCCUUGCGAGGUCUCUCGAGUUACACAACUGCAUCUUGUGUGUACAUUCUUGCACAAUUUUUAUAACUUUUUAUCAAUAAGUACUCUGAAAAAAUGUUAUGUUGAAGUUAUCAAAAAUAUCUUGGCUGGCUAAAAGUAUUACAUAACAAUAUCCCCUGGUGUGUACAAACUGCACCAGAUGUAAUUUAAAUUUGUAAUUAGGAGCAACACUGGUUUGACAGAAAAAGAAAUGCAGUUAAGAGCAAAAGUUCGGAAAGAGAAAAUUAAGUGAAAAACAUAAUUUCAAGCAGAAUAGUAGACAUGUAAAGUCUACAGUCCUGCAAAAAGUUGAAGUUUUCAUAGUUCAAGAAAAUCUUAUCCUUGGGUAUAUAUAAAUUGAAAAAAAAAGACUUAGAGAUAAUCAAAGGCAUUUCGAUACUUAUCUUUCCAGAUAAGACAUUCCAUAUUGGUUUUUGUUACAUGACCUUCAAUGUAAGAAUCAGAAACUUACUGUUUUCAGUCAACAUUGAGUCAAAACUUUUGAGGCAUUUAGGUUUCCAAAAGUUUGUUCAUACAUAGAUCAAAUUCCCAAGAAUAAUAGAAAAUGACAAGACCAGGCCGAGCGAAUUACCCUUGACCCCUAAGCCUAUAUUAUACCACCCCUGAUCAAGUAUUCCACAUCUCCAGUGUGGAAACAUUUAUGAAUUGUCUUUGGCCUCAGAAACUACAGAGGCUAAGAUACUGUCUGCACACCCAAGAAGCUGAUGUGUAAUUGAUUAGUUCUUUCAUCAGCACAACUCAUUGCCUCUGUUAGACGGCUGAAUACAGACACAGUGGGUAAAGACAGAUAAAUAAGCAGGAAAUCAUCGGGGCCUUUGUUUAUAGGAUGCCUUUAAGAAAAUGAGAGGCAUACACACCCAGGAUCCCCAUGGCUUACUGAGAUAUUGUAAAUUCAUGCAAACUAGAAAAAAAGUGCUGCUUCUUUCAGGUGGAGGUAAUCCCACACUAAGAUACAUGGUUUGGUAUGUAUCUCAGCCACAAAUCACACCUUAGCUGGGCAAGUGUGUGUAGUCACCAAUCUGCACAACCAUAUAGAAUCGACCUGAGAUGAUGUAUUUCUUCACUUAAACACACACACACACAUAAGUAAAAGCCACACAAAAAAAAGUUAGCAAGAAGGAGUCACACUAAAGAUAUAAAGAGUGUAUAUGAAGUACAAUAUUGUAGAGACUCACCAUCUUUAAGAGGCCAAAAACCAAUGAUGGGACCAUCGUUGAGAUGGAGACCAACUGGUAGGUAUACUUACAAAAUGUCUUGUAACUACUUCCUCAGUAAAAAUAACUGUCAGAAAUUCAUAUUUUCAGAACAUAGAGAUGUCAGGUCUGGGAUUUGAUUGGAUUCCACUUACAAGCUAAUAAGUUAGCCUGUUACUGUUUCACAGACACUGGCAGAAGACAUGAAAUUCCUGGAUCAGAGUCAAAGACUUUAUUACUGAUGGCACAGUAGGCAGCAUGAGCACCAGCUUAUUUACAUCUAUUCUCUCUGGCCUCCAGUCUUAUGAUGGGCGCAACAGGAUGGAUGCUGCACACAUGGUGUGUUUGCAUUGCAGCUGAUAAAAUCCUUCGGGAAUACACCAUUUUUACAGCAGAUAGUAAGUGAGCCUGGUCUUUGUCCUGGGAGAACAAACCUUAUCUCUCAAGGUUCCCAGCUAAAUAAAUAACUCUAAGAAAUAGGUUAAAGAGUGGUCUUGGCACAUCCAACAAAACGUAAGUGUACCUGAGGCCCUAGGGGGACUCUCUUUUCCAGCAAGAGAAUAUUUAGUAUUAACAUUCAUAUUAAGAAUGGCUUAAUGAUAAAUAAAUUGAUAUUGGCAGAAAAACCACUUACUUAUGAAAUGUGCUAUAUAUUUUCUCUUCCCAUUAUUAUUAUUAAUAGACUUAGAAUGGAUUAUGUUUCUGUCUCAAGCCUUACUCAAGGUUAUCUAUAACUUAAAGGAAAAAACCAGAAAUGCAAGACAUAGUGAUGUACUCCAAAAUCUGUACAUAGAACACUUAGAAAUGAAAUUCAUGUUUUCUGAUUUUGAAAGAAACAUACUUGUAAAAGAAAAUUCAGAAAACUAUUUUAAAAACAUUUAAAAGUCACAUAUAAUCCCACCUCUCAAACACCACAAUUACAAUUUUAUUUGGGUGAAUUUACUUUUCAUCUAUGCUCUAUACAUAUUAUUACACAGUUGCAAACAUAUUUUAAGUACAGCUGUACAUCCUGCUUUCAUUUAUAAGUGGUUUUCCUAAUUUGAUUAUAUAUGUAACAUGCUUAAUUCUCAAUGGCUAUGUAGUAUUUCAUGAUAUUGGUGCAUCAUAUAACCACUCAACUAUUGCAACUGUUUCAAUUAUUCACUAUUAUAAAUAAUCCUACAGGAUGUACAAAGCAUAAUGCUUUCAGCAGAACAUUAUCCAGAAGAAAACACUAACAGUCCUCUGAAUUCAAUACUCUGAACAGGAAUGUGGGCUACAUUUAAACUUUUCUUCCUUAGAUAUCCUAUUUACAUUUCAAAAAUCUGAGACAACAUAAUCAUAUGAUUAAUUUCCACUCUUAUGUGUGACAUCCUUUAUUCUUUAACCAAAAGAGAUGUAGGCCCUACCCAACAUUCACUCUCACUUCCUCCUUGCUAAUAGCACUUCUGUAUUAUUCAGACAGAGAAUGUGCCCAAUUAAAAGACUACAGCCACCAACCUUCUGUAUAGUUAGGUAAAAUUAUGUGAUUAAGUUUGAGAAAUUGAGACAUAAGUGGAAGUCACGGAGAGAGAUUUCUAGAAAGCCUCCUUUAAGUGGUGGUAGACAAAUAGAAAAAGCUGUUUUGUUACUUUCCUUCUUCCUGGAAGGUUGAUGUGGUAGCUGGUGCUCAAGCAACCAUCUUAGUCAAUGAGGCAACCUGAAUAUGGAAGACAUGAUCAGGAAUGGCAGAGCAGAAAGUCAGAAGCAGUCUGGUGCUCUGUGACCAUGAAAACACCACAUCAGUGGUAAUCCGUUGCUGUACUGCCCAACUUCAAACCCUAAUUCUGUUAUUUCCUAUCUGUACAACUUUGAGCAGAUUAUUCAGUUUUUCUAUUUUUUCACCUGUGAAAUCGGGAUAACUAUCCACUUCAUAGGAUAUAAAGUGCUGUGAACCCUGAAUAUCUGAGGCAGGCCUCAGUUAAUUUAUAAAGUUUAAAGGCCUGGUGUGGUGGCUCAUGCCUGUAAUCCCAGCACUUUGGGAGGCCGUGGCAGGCAGAUCACGAGGUCAGGAGAUCGAGACCAUCCUGGCUAACACGGUGAAACCCCAUCACUACUAAAAAUACAAAAAAAAAUUAGCUGGGUGUAGUGGCGGGCGCCUGUAGUCCCAGCUACUUGGGAGGCUGAGGCAGGAGAAUGGCGUGAACCCGGGAGGCGGAGCUUGCAGUGAGCCAAGAUCACGCCACUGCACUCCAGCCUGGGCCACAGAGCGAGACUCCAUCUCAAAAAAAAAAAAGAAAGUUUAUUUUGCCAAGGUUGAGGACGCACCCAUGACACAGCUUCAAGAGGCCCUGAUGACAUGUGGUCUAGGUGGUCAGAGUACAGUUUGGUUUUAGACAUUUUAGGAAGACAUGAGACAUCAAACAACAUAUGUAAGAUGAACAUUGGUUUAGUCCAGAAAGGCAGGACAACUGGAAGCAAAGGUGGGACAACGCAUAGCGGGGAGGGGGCUUCCAGGUCAUAAUAAAUAAGAGACAAACAGUUGCAUUCUUUUGAGUUUCUGAUUCGCCUUUCCAAAGAAGGCAAUCAGAUAUGCAUUUAUCUCAGUGAGCAGAGGGCUGACUUUGAAUAGAAUGCAAGGCAGGUUUGCCCUGAGCAGUUCCCAGCUUGACUUUUCCCUUUAGCUUAGUGAUUUGGGGACCCCAGGAUUUCUUUUCAUUUCACAGUUCUGAGAACAAUGCCAGAAAAUAACAAAUAUUCUAUUAUAGUUUUCCAUUAUUUGUAUUAGAUCAUCCCUAGACUACCUACCUUCAGACUUAUUUUAUGGGAGAGAAAUAAAGAAAGCCAUAGAUACUUACUUAAGAUAACUAAGGGGACAUCUAUUGCAUUGUAUGUAAUUAUAACAACUAUAUAUAACAUAUAUGACAUCUAUUUUAUAUGUAACAACUUAGCCCUGAAUCACUAGGACAUCUCCUUUCUUCAUGCUGUGACUGAUUCCCUUUGCUGCAUCUUCUUUCAUAAAUAUAUAUCAUUAAGUUUUUUCUAAUUAUUUCUUUAUAUCCCUGUUUCUGGCUCUUCCUUUUAACAACUGUAUCCUGGUUCCUGAUUCUUUCCUUUGAAUAAUAAGGACCACUGCAUGAAACAAAGUAGUAUUUAUAAAUAAUACAUCUUAAAAAUUAGUACAUAUUUUUUCUCCUGUAAAUGGUAGCAUGAUUCUGAGCCCAGGCUUUUUUCAUUAAAUUAUGUAUUAACGUAUAACGUAACUACAGAAAACGGCACAAAUUUUAAGCAUACAGCUUCAUAAGAAAAGUUCUUUUACAUUCUCCAGGUUCCAAAAGAGAAAAGGAAAAAAAUAACAAUAGGCACAAUGAGCUUUAGAAUAUCACCUAAAAUUGUAUUUCCCCCAAUGUUUUAAGAAAUUUUAAGCCGGUGGGGCACAGUGGCUUAUGCCUGUAAUCCCAGCACUUUGGGAGACUGAGGCGGGUGGAUCACGAGGUCAGGAGAUGGAGACCAUCCUGGCUAACACGGCGAAGCCCCGUCUCUACUAAAAAUACAAAAAAAAAAUUAGCCGGGCGUGGUGGCGGGUGCCUGUAGUCCCAGCUACUCAGGAGGCUGAGGCAGGAGAAUGGCGUGAACCCGGAAGGCGGCGGAGCUUGCAGUGAGCCGAUAUCGCGCCGCUGGACUCCAGCCUGGGCGACAGAGGGAGACUCCGUCUCAAAAAAAAAAAAAAAAAAGAAAAGAAAAGAAAUUUUAAGCCUAACAAGCAAAGUUAUAUAUUAUUAAAAUGAAUAUCCAUAUACUGUUUACUUAUAUUUACCAACUGUUAAUGUUUUCCCACAUUUGCUUUUUCUCUUUUAACCAUAUGAAAAUAAGCUGCAGGGUCAUAACACAUCAUCCCUAAAUAUUUUAGCAUGUAUCUCCUAAAAAUAAAAACAGUCUCCUACUUAAAUAUAAUACCAUUAUCACACCAAGAAAUUUAACAUUAAUAUUGCCUAAUAGUCUAUAUUCAAAUUUCCAAAUUGUUUCCAUUUUAAUAUUCUUCCCUACCUUUACCUCAUCCUAGAUCCAAUUAUGGAUUACACAUUUCUAUGGUUUGACAUGUGUUUGUAGACUCCUAUGAGCUCAGACAAUUUCCUUGACUUUUUUUUUCUUUCUUUCAUGACUGACAUAUUUGAAGAGUUCAGGUAACUUUUCUUAUAGAAUGCUUCACAAUCUGGAUGUAAGGAAAAGAUUAUUUCCUCAUGAUUCGAUUAGGUUAAACAUUUUUAGAAAGAAUACUAGAUAAGACAUGUUAUCCAAGAUGCCACUGUGAGAACAAAGGUUGUUUCCUUGUGCAACUAAAUAAUAAGCCAAAGUGAAAAACAAGAUCCGUCUAUAUGAUGGAGUGCAAUCACAGUUUAAAACAAAGAUUAGAAAAAGAGUAUCUGUCACAUUCUAUUGGCAAUAGAAAUCAAAGGGCAUUGUAUUAGUCCAUUCUCAUGCUGCUAAUAAAGACAUACUUGAGACUGGGUGAUUUAUAAAGAAAAAGAGGUUUAAUGGACUCACAGUUCCACAUGGCUGGGGAGGCCUCACAAUCAUGGUGGAAGGCAAAGGAGGAGCAAAGGCACAUCUUACAUGGUGGCAGGCAAGAGAGCACGUGCAGAGGAACUGCCCUUUAUAAAACCAUCAGGUCUCAUAAAACUUACUCACUUUCGAGAACAGCACAGGAAAAAACAGCCCCCAUAAUUCAAUUACCUCCCAUGGGUCCCUCCCACAAUACAUGGUGAUUAUGGGAGCUACAAUUCAAGAUGAGAUUUGGGUGGGGACACAGCCAAACCAUAUUAGGCAUCAUGGCCCUAGGUUUUCUACUUGGAAUAAAGAGUCAAAGAGUGCAAUCUGUACUUUAGAGAUUUCUUUACACUAAACUCUUUGAAGUGUUUAUUUCUAAGGGUCAGAAUUGCAGGGGACUUUCACAUUCUGUAUUAUUUUUGAAAUGUUUGAGUUUUUAUAACAAGCAGAUAUGACUUUACUUUUAUAAUCAGAGAAACAUAUUCUGAAGAUUUUUAAUAGAGAAAUAUUUAAUAUAAAGAUUUCUUAUAGCAGGGGCUCAGCUUUUCUUACAAGAUUAGGUAGCAUAGGUUUCUGCUUUCACUAGUACCAUAGUAAAACAAACAAUGGGCAAUACUAGCCCUUGAGUUUUAAUGAUGGUAAACAUCUUCAGUUUUUCUACAGGACUUUAAUGGAUUUUCUUUUAAGUCUUCAUAUUUGCAGGGGGUGGGGGACAGGGAAUUACAAACAUUACAGAACAAAGGAACCAUCAUCAGCCGAUUCUCUGAUAUAGAAUAGACCCUUCAAAUGCAGUCAUCUCCCUUUGAUUAUUUUCUUUCCUCUUAAGCUUUUGUUUCAGAUUCAAAUACAUUCUGAAUAGAUGCAAUUAACCUUAAUAUGUAUAACCUUACAGCACUCUACUGACUUUGAAGUAAGUAACCUUACUGUGUAAUUGAACUAAGUUUCUUUCUCAUUUCUGCUAUGGUUCUACUGAUUAUUGUUAGUAAUAUGUUUUCAAGCUUUCAUCAUCCUGUUGAUUUAUUGUUUCACCGUUCCAGCUGCCAAAGACUUUUUAGCAAUUCCCAUUCAUUUUUGGUGAUAUUGUAUUUGAACAAAAAUGAUUGCUCCCCAAGGCUUGGCAGACCACAAAUGCGUACCAUACUGAGGAAUGGAAUCCAGUGCAGAAAAGUUGGAAAUUCCUUCUAAACAGGACCAUAAUUUCUACCGUCCUGCACAAACAGGAAUGUAAAUUUGAUCUAAUCAAACCAAAAUGUUUUUUUCUUUUCAUCCACUCUGUCUCUUCUGCCAUGCAUAGAACUGUGCUUUUCAAACUGUAGGAGGUAACCCUCUAAUGGGUUAUGAAAUCAAUUCAGUGGAUUUAUUUUUAAUGAACAAGAAUAGAAACUGUCAGAGUACAUCACAUAUAAUAAAGGUGAAAAUUGUUUUGUGAAAUUUUUUCAGUUAUAUAUACCCUAAUAUAUACUCAGUCAGGUACUAGGUCAUGAUGUCAAAUGAAUUGCUCACUGCAGGCUAUGAUCAGAAGUCUGAAAAAAAAAUCACUGUAAGUUACUAUGUUGUUGAGGUUGCACAGUGAGAGUGAGAUAACUGCUCUAAUGUCAGAGGUGUUUGAACCAGAGAGAUUCCACCUUGAAUAGGGGCUGGGUAAAAUAAAGCUAAAACCUGCUGGGCUGCAUUCCCAGACAGUUAAGGCAUUCUAAGUCACAGGAUGAGAUAGGAGGUUGGCACAAGAUACAGGUCCUAAAGACCUUGCUGAUAAGACAGUUUUCAGUAAAGAAGCCAGCUAAAACCCACCAAAACCAAGAUGGCAACGAGAGUGACCUCUGGUUUUCCUCAAAGCUACACUCCCACCAGCACCAUGACAGUUUACAAAUGCCAUGGCAACAUCAGGAAGUUACCCUAGAUGGUCUAAAGAGGGGAAGCAUGAAUAACCCACCCCUUGUUUAGCAUAAAAUUAAGAAAUAACCAUAAAAAUGGGCAACCAGCAAGCCUUGGGGCUGCUCUGCCUAUGGAGUAGUCACUCUUUAUUCCUUUACUUUCUUAAUAAACUUGCUCUCACUUUGCUCUAUAGACUUGCCCUGAAUUAUUUCUUGUGUAACAUCCAAGAACCUUCUCUUGGGGUCCGGAUCAGGACCCCUUGCCAGUAACACUAACACAAGGCUACCAAGCUCACCUGUCAUUUGUGAAAAGCAGCAGAACAAAGGGAAUCCCCAGAGAAACUUUUCUCCUGCAAAGUACUUCUCUAUUCAAAUCAUUUUAAAGCUAUGAUGGGGUUCACGACAUGUUAUCCCAAAAUAUAGCACCUUGGUAUUUGAGAAAACAGCAAAAGGAGGAAAGCCUCUCUGACCUUCUCCCAUCUUUUUCCCCUGAAGCAAGCCAUAAAAAAUUUCUCUGACCUUCCUCUAAGGUAGGUCAUAAUAUCCUCAUUUCAGAGGGAUCCUCCCUCCUCCCUAAACCCAUAGGAAAGAAGUGGAGACAUAGAGACACAAAGAAUUUGAACAAACAGGACUUGCUAAGCUUCCCCAGUUUAUGUCAUUAGACCAUACUCCUUUUUGACCAAUCAUACUUCUAUAUACUAUCCACUCUUCAUCAAACCUAAGCAUAAAAAGACACAGUUUUCCCUGGUUCUUUGAAUCUUCAUUUUUGGAUGCUCCUAUGUCCUAUAAAACUUAUGUUAAAUGAAUGGGUAUGCUUUUCUCUUGUUAAUCUGUCUUUUUUUAUAGGGAUAUCAGCCAUGAACCUAGGGAUAGGUAAGGAAAGAAAUCUUCCCCUCUCUGCAACUGUAAAUGUCACAUUACUGCUUCGAUAUUACCACUCUCUUUAGCCUAUAGAACUUCUCUUUUCUUAAUGUCAAUAUAAAACAAUGAUAGGGCUGGGCGCAGUGGCUCAUGCCUGUAAUCUCAGCACUUUGGGAGGCCAAGGCAGGUGGAUCACGAGGUCAGCAGUUCAAGACCAGCCUGGCCAACAUGGUGAAACCACGUCUCUACUAAAAAUACAAAAAUUAGCCAGGCAUGGUGGUGGACACCUGUAAUCCCAGCUACUCGAGAGGCUGAGGCAGGGGAAUCGCUUGAAGCCAGGAGGCGGAGUUUGCAGUGAGCUGAGACCACGCCAUUGUACUCCAGCCUGGGCAACAGAGCGAGACUCCAUCUCAAAAAAAAAAAAAAAAAAAAAAAAAACAAUGAUAAGACCUUAGCUAGCUGUACUAUCAAUCCUUCUAUCUAUUCUCCAUCUGUACAUCAUAUUCAAGAUCCAAAAUUUGGUAGAUAGACAUAGGUUUGAAUACUGGUUCUGUCACUCAAAAAGCCAUGAGAUCUUGGAAAAUCAUUUUAUUUUCAAGACUCAGUUUCCUCAUCUUUAAGGUAGCAAAUGGCUUAUCAUGAAAAGAAUAUUCAAUAAUGUACCUGACAUACUUAACACAAGGUCUAGCACAUGGCUAAUCAUGGAAAACACAUGAGCUACUAAUUGUUAUUUUGGUUUUAGUCUCUCAGGGGUACCCAGUUUAAUUUUUCCAGAUCAUAACUAAUUUACUUUAUGCUACAACAGGAUUCCAAUGCUUCAUUACAUUUCUCAUUUCAAAAAUAAGUCAAAUAGUAGUAGUAUUAGUAUCUGAUAAUCAUUGAGACAUCUACCCAGCUCAUUGAGACAUGUCAUUAGGAAGAGUUAAAUACUAUCUGUUGCUUUAUAAACUUUCUGCAUGCUAGAGAUUGACUUAAAUAAUCCCCUAAUGAAUAACCAUCUAUAUUGAGCCAUCAAGAUUACUCAUUACAAUCAAUCACAGAUACUAUCUUCCAAUGUACUAUUAUUUCAUAACAUUAAAAGGAACUCCAGCAUUACCCAAUUCUCCAUCUCCAGGGAAGAAUACUAGACUGAUGCAUUCAGGCCACUUAGCAUCUAUAAGCAGAAUUUUAUUCUCAUAAUCAUAUAGAGAAGGAAAUUGAACAUCUGAACAUUGCAGUGAGGAAGAAAUAGUGAAAACAGUUCUAAUAUGCUCUAAUAAGUUUGUUAAAACUUGUACUUCAUUUCAGAAUAUUUUAUGUGGCUUAUUCAGAUGCAAAUAAUGUGAGUCAAAAUGACUUAAGUUCUGUCUCAGACAUAAGAAACCAUACUUCAGGAUUGCAGAAAAUAGACACUAAAUAGUGAUAUUGAUAAAAAUUUAACACUAUAACUUAGUGACUUUAUUAUUGUAUAUCCCACCUUGUAUUCCAUCUUAUAAUUACAAAAUACUUUACAAAAUUUAACAAUGCUUUUUAAGGAGAAAAGAGAAAAAUCAGGAUUGGCCAUGAUGAACUGCUCUUAUCAAACCAUCAUUUAUUCUCCUUUUAUCUCCCUUGAGAGUUUGGGGAUGAAGAGAAGGAUUACAAAGAUUAUUUCCUUCCCUCAAGCAUAACAAACUGGUGGGACGCAUUAAGGUUGGAUCAAGGAAAUUAGGAAAUGUUUUUCUGGGCCCUGAAGGAGGAAAUGAGAAAAAGAAUGGGUUUCCCCAAUCUGCAUAGACAGCAUGCCAACAACAGACAUAAAUAAGAUGUCUAAGUGUUGAGGUUGCAGUAGGGUGUUUUAGAGACUGUAUUAGUUUGAGUCCUUCAGAAGCUGACACCAAGAUGGGGUUAGACAAGCAAGAGAUGGAUAAGGGGGAAUGCUUGUGAAGGAUGAAAGUGGGAGCAGGGGUAGGGAAGGAAAGCUUUGAGAACAAGACUAGGUCUGAUUACUAUUGCCAAAACCUAAAUAAAAGACAGUGAGAGAGGCCCUCCCAAAGAAAAUCAUAUUUAUUCUGGAUUGAGCAUUGCAAUGGGAAUACAGUGGGUAUAUUCAAGAAGGCAAAGGAAGACAAAGGUUUUUUAAGGAAAAGUGAGGAAAGGAGGGUGAUACAAGUUGUUUGAGACAAAUAUCCUUGGCUACAAAAAUCAACAAGGGUAGAAUCAGUCCAAGGCUGGACAGACAGUUGCUAGGCAGAUGUCCUUGCAGAAGUACUUUUUGUGUAAGGUUGUAGCUUUUGUGCAAAGUUGUAGUUUUUGCAGAGCCUUUUGUGAGAGUUCUUGUUAUGAGGCAUAUGUGCAUGAGAAUCUUCCCUUCAUGGCCCCAGCUCCACGUGUUUGACACAAGUGACCUCAUUUUGAGUCUGACAACUUUCAUUCUAUGAAAGGACCGAAGGAAAGAGGAUUGAGUAGCAAGAUCCUCAGUGUUAUACAGUUCUGAGAAAAUCUUGGACACGAAUAUGGGGAGUCUUCCAGCAAAAGUUGCCUAAUAGAGGAGUUCUGCAUGGGCCAGGAAUAGGCUAGCACUAAAACCAUCCCAAGAAAAUUGUAUAAAAUUGAGCAAGAGAAAAACAAAACAAUAAAAUCCAACCGGGCUUGCAGCAGCAAUCAUUAAGCCAGCUUGCCCUUUGGUCCACUUCCUUGUAGCUGGUUGUUGCUCACUAGCCCAGCUUUGAGCUGUCCAAUGGACAACCCCAGAUUUUCUAGCCCCUCACCCUCCAUGAAUCCCCUUAAAAACCCUUGCCCAGAACCCAUGGAAGAAACAAACUUGAGGCUUGAGAAUUCCUCCUGUUUCCUCACUGAGAAUGUCGCGAUGAUUAAACUCUUUCUCUGCUGCAAGUGCCAUUGUCAGUGUAUGGGUCUGUUGCUGCCCAGAGGGCGUAUAAGCCUGGCAGUCCUGCAACAGCACUGGCACCCUGGAAUGCUCAGCCAUUGGCUGGGAUGGGUGCAGCACAAGCCAGCACUCACAGGCAAGGUGUAAUGGAUCCAAAAGGGUGGCAGCUGGGGCCGUCAGCUGACUAUGCUCCCCACUGUAAGUUCUUCUGAAGACAAUCUGAAUAACAAGUUUCUCUGGCUGUCCAGAGGCCAUUUAAACUCCUGUGACAUAAUAAAAAAUAAAUAUUUAGCCACGGUCCCUGGUUCCUGGGACAGAGCUCCCCAAACCCUUGGGAUUCCCAGAGUGCUAAGUGUCUUUUUUAUGCUAAUGUCUGUUGGUGAGGUCCCUAGACAGCUAGCUUAAGAGACUGGUAGCUAGAAAAACCAGCUAUGCGAUUGGGGGGUUAAAACUUUCAACCCCUGGCCGGGAGCAGUGGCUCACGCCUGUAAUCCCAGUACUUUGAGAGGUCGAGGUGGGUGGAUCACAAGGUCAGGAGUUCGAGACCAGCCUGGCCAAUAUGGUGAAACCUCGUUUCUACUAAAAAUACAAAAAAAUUAGCCAGGCAUGGUGGCACAUGCCUGUAAUCCCAGCUACUUGGGAGGCUGAGGCAGGAGAAUUGCUUGAAUCUGGGAGGCAGAGGUGGCAGUGAACUGAGAUCACGCCACUGCACUACAGCCUGGGUGACACAGCAAGAUUCCAUCUCAAAAAAAAAAAAAAAAAAAAAAAAAAACAACUUGCAGCCCCAUCUCAGUUUCUGGGGAGAGGCGGGGGCUGGAGAUUUAAUCACCAAUGGCCACUGAUUUAAUCAAUUAUGCCUAGGUAAUAAAGCCUCAAUAAAAGUUCUUGAACUAUAAGGUUUGGGGGUCUUCCAGGUUGGCGAACACAUCAAAGUAUCUACCUAGAGUAUGGAAACUCUUCACACCCCACCACCUACCCCUUCAUCUCCCAAAAGAUGCCUUACGCAUCUCUUCCACUUGACUGAGUUGUAUCCUUUAUGAUAAACCUGUAAUCAUAAAUAUAGUAAUUUCUGCGAGUUUUGUGAGUCACUCUAAUGAAUUAUCAAAACUGGGGAAGGGGAGAUGCAUGGGAACCCCCAACUUUGUAGUCUGGUGGGUAGACAUACAGGUAGCCUGGAGACUCCAUUUGCAGCUAGUGUCUGAAGUCUGAAGUGGGGGGCAGUUUUGUGGGACUGAGCCCUUAAUUUGUGGGGUCCACACUAACUCUGAGUAGUUAGUGUUAGAAUUGAACUGUGGGACACCUAGUUGGGGUCACAGUUAGUUGGUGUUAGAAUGACAUAUUUGAUGUCAGGAAAAAAAAAACCACACAACUCCUAAUGAUCCUGUAGACCAAAGCUCAAACGUCACCUCUAAGGAAAGAUCUUCCUGCUCCCAAGACCAGCUGAGACCCCAGCUUUCCUUGCAAGCUUGUCCAGCCCAGGGCCCACAAGGUGCAUGUAGCCCAGGUGGCUCAGGAUGGCUUUGAAUGUGGCCCAACACAAAUUCAUAAACUUUCUUAAAACAUUGAGGUUUUUUUGCGAUUUUUUUUUUAAGCUCAUCCACUAUGAUUAGUGUUAGUGUAUUUUGUGUGGGGCCAAGACGAUUCUUCUUCCCAUGUGGCCCCAGGAAGCCAAAAGAUUGGAUACCCCUGCUUUAAAGUAUACAUAUUUGUUCACAUAUUAAUAAAUGUCUGUCCCAUCAAUUAGACAGUAAGCUUCAUAAGGGCUUAUUUUGUGUUGAAUAGUUAUUUGUUCCUAGUUUUUAAUUAGUUCUUUUAAGCUAGAGAUCCUCUCAUUCCAUGGUGGUUAUGAGGAUUGAAAGAGUUAGUAUACAUAGUGUGCAUUUACAUACUAGCUACUACGUAAGUGCUAUUAUUAUUAUUGCUCAUGUUGAAGUCUCUACAAUACUAAUACGAAGUAGGCCACAAAAAUGUUAAGAUUAACAUAAUUUACAUACAAAUUCAGCUCAAGUUAACUGUAAAAUAAAAUUCCAUAUUAUAGGUUCAUUUUCAAAAUAUAUUUUUAUUUUCUUCAAACAGCAUCAAGCUAAAGGACCAGGUAUGGUUAGACAAGUACAUGAAUGUGAAUUCAACCCUAUAUUACCAGCACAGGCAAGACCCCAUUUCCCAGAAUUGGAUAAAACUAGGUAAAUGCAUGUCUUUGUCUUAUAUUUAUCUAGAGGUGAUAUAAAUAAUGUAAAAUAUUUACAAACAAGCAGAAUAUUAAAAGGAAGGAUAAAGGUUUACUUUGGAUUAGAAGUUUGUGUAAGCUUUUUUCUCUUUUAAUUUGUGUAGACAGCUUUGAUAUUUAAGGACAAGACAAAAAUCACCAAGUAAAAAUAAUUGGGAAAGCCAGUAUGAAUUAGUAAAUACUUAUAAUAACUUAAAUCCAAAUUCCAUCAAGAACUCAAUCUUGGCCAGGCGCGGUGGCUCACGCCUGUAAUCCCAGCACUUUGGGAGGCCGAGGCAGGCAGAUCACAAGGUCAGGAGUUUGAGACCGGCCUGGCCAAUGUGGCGAAACCCCGUCUCUACUAAAAAUACGAAAAUUAGCCAGGCAUGGUGGCAUGUGCCUGUGGUACCAGCUGCUCAGGAGGCUGAGGCAGAGGAGUCGCUUGAACACGGGAGGCAGAGGUUGUGGUGAGCUGAGAUUGCGCUGUUGCACUCCAGCCUGAGCGACAGAGCGAGACUCUGUCUCAAAAAAAAAAAAAAAGAACUCAAUCUUGUCUGAGAGUCUAUCAGAGGUACUCAGAAUAAUUUAAUAUAUUGAUAGCCACAGAUUUUUACUAGUAUACUUUCUUUCUAUGCAAAUAGGUGGUUUAUUUAUUUAUUUAUUUAUUUAUUUGAGACAGGGUCUCACUCUGUUGCCCAGGCUGGAGUACAGUGGUACAAUCACAGCUCACUGUAGUCUUGGAGCUCCUGAGCUCAAGCUAUCCUCCUGCCUCAGCCUCUUGAGUAGCUGGGACAGAGGUAUGUGCCACCGUGCCCAGAUAAUUUAAAUUUUUUUUUUUUUUUUUUUUUUUUUGGAGAGACAAGGGACUCCCUAUGUUACUCCUGGACUAAAGCAAUCCUCCCACAUUGGCUUUCCAAAGUGCUGAGGUUACAGGCACAAGCCCCUGCGCCCGACCACAAGUAGGUGUUUUAAACCAGUGUUUUUUUUUAACAAGGCACAAACAUUCGACUUAAGGGUGACAGCAUAGUACUUUACCAGGAAUAAAGUUAUGUUUUACACAUAUACACGUGGAAAAAUUAAAACCCUAUGAAGUUGGUAUUGUCUUAUAUUAAGUAAUGAGGAAACUGAGGCAUAAAGUAGCUAAGGAUUUUGUUCAAAGAGCAAGUGAUGGCAUAAUCAGAACUUGAACCCAGGUCUACCCAGCAUCAGAGCCCAUAUUCCUAAUCCCCACACUGGGGCUGCAGGAGGAAAUUAAUGGAAGGAUUCCCACAAAACAAGACAAAUCUUUUACCAUAUAAAUAAAUUCACAUUAUGAGUGGACAAAUGAAACUGUACUAUUAAAGCACUUUAUCCUCUUUUUUCUUUUUUUUUUUUUUUUGCUUUUUGUUUUGUUUUGUUUUGUUUUUGAGACAGAGUCUCACUCUGUCGCCCAGGCUGGAGUGUAGUGGCGCGAUCUCGGCUCACUGCAAGCUCUGCCUCCCGGGUUCACGC